CAAUAGCGUAUAUUAAAGUUGUUGCGGUAAAAAAGCUCGUAGUUGGAUUUCUGUUGAGAGCGACCGGUCCAUACCAUGUAUGCGUAUCUGGCUUGCUCUCGGCAUCCUCUCGAUAGACGUUACUGCGCUUGAUUGCGUGGUGCGGAUCUCGGGACUUUUACUUUGGGGAAAUUAGAGUGUUCACGGCAGGCUUUCGCCAGAAUACAUUAGCAUGGAAUAAUACUAUAGGAUCUUGGUUCUAUUUUGUUGGUUUCUAGAAUUGAGAUAAUGAUUAAUAGGGACAAUUGGGGGCAUUCGUAUCAACACGUCAGAGGUGGAAUUCUUGGAUUGUGUUGCGACGAACUACUGCGAAAGCAUUUGCCAAGGAUGUUUUCAUUGA
rnacentral:rRNA from 1 species